rnacentral:rRNA from 1 species
UACAGAGGUGGCAAGCGUUGUUCGGAAUUACUGGGCGUAAAGGGCGCGUAGGCGGUUCGUUAAGUCCUGUGUGAAAUCCCCCGGCUCAACUGGGGAACUGCACAGGAAACUAGCGGGCUUGAGUUCGGGAGAGGGAAGCGGAAUUCCGGGUGUAGCGGUGAAAUGCGUAGAUAUCAAGUGGAACACCAGUGGCGAAGGCGAAUCCCUGGAAAAUACCUGACACUGAGGCACGAAAGCUAGGGUAGCAAACAGG